AUUGAACGCUGGCGGCAUGCCUAACACAUGCAAGUCGAACGGCAGCAUGAUCUAGCUUGCUAGGUUGAUGGCGAGUGGCGCACGGGUGAGUAAUGCGUAGGAAUAUGCCUUAAAGUGGGGGACAACUUGGGGAAACUCAAGCUAAUACCGCAUAAUCUCUAAGGAGAAAAGCUGGGGACUUUCGAGCCUGGCGCUUUAAGAUUAGCCUACGUCCGAUUAGCUAGUUGGUAGGGUAAAGGCCUACCAAGGCGACGAUCGGUAGCUGGUCUGAGAGGAUGGUCAGCCACACUGGGACUGAGACACGGCCCAGACUCCUACGGGAGGCAGCAGUGGGGAAUAUUGGACAAUGGGGGCAACCCUGAUCCAGCGAUGCCGCGUGUGUGAAGGCCUGCGGGUUGUAAAGCACUUUCGGUGGGGAGGAGGAGUGAUAGGUUAAGAGCUAAUUACUUGGACGUUACCCACAUAAGAAGCACCGGCUAACUCCGUGCCAGCCGCCGCGGUAA
rnacentral:rRNA from 1 species